UACGUAGGGGGCAAGCGUUGUCCGGAAUCAUUGGGCGUAAAGAGCGUAUAGGCGGUCCGAUAAGUCGGUUGUGAAAGUCAAGGGCUCAACCCUUGAAUGCCGACCGAUACUGUCGGGCUAGAGUCCGGAAGAGGCGAGUGGAAUUCCCAGUGUAGUGGUGAAAUGCGCAGAUAUCGGGAGGAACACCGGUGGCGAAGGCGGUUCUCUGGGCCUGUACUGACGCUGAGGAGCGAAAGCGUGGGGAGCGAACAGG
rnacentral:rRNA from 1 species